rnacentral:pre_miRNA from 1 species
UUUAUACUCCCUCCGUCCGAAAAUACUUGUCAUCAAAAUAGAUAAAAAGAGAUGUAUCUAGAACUAAAAUACAUUUAGAUACAUCCUUUUUUAUCUAUUUUGAUGACAAAUAUUUUCGGACGGAGAGAGUAUAUA